rnacentral:sRNA from 1 species
AUCUCCGGGGGCAAGAGGUUCGACUCGAGCGCAGCGAGAGAACGUUGCGUCAGCAACGGCCCGCAGGGCGAGCUACGCAGUGGCGAGUCAUCCUCUAUCACCGGCAG